ensembl:rRNA 5S_rRNA 5S ribosomal RNA
GUCUACAGCUAUAAAACCCUGAAUAUGCCUGAUCUCAUCUGAUCUCAGAAGCUAAGCAGGGUCGGGCCUCAUUAGUACUUUGAAGGGAGAAAAAAGAACCACAUUUAGUUC